GUGCCAGCCGCCGCGGUAAUACGUAGGUGGCGAGCGUUGUCCGGAUUUACUGGGCGUAAAGGGAGCGUAGGCGGUCUUUUAAGUGGGGUGUGAAAUCCCUGGGCUUAACCCAGGAAUUGCAUUCCAUACUGGGAGACUAGAGUGCAGGAGAGGAAAGUGGAAUUCCAAGUGUAGCGGUGAAAUGCGUAGAGAUUUGGAGGAACACCAGUGGCGAAGGCGACUUUCUGGACUGUAACUGACGCUGAGGCUCGAGAGCGUGGGGAGCAAACAGGAUUAGAAACCCCCGUAGUCC
rnacentral:rRNA from 1 species